GAUGAACGCUGGCGGCGUGCCUAAUACAUGCAAGUCGAGCGAACAGACGAUGAGCUUGCUCCUCUGACGUUAGCGGCGGACGGGUGAGUAACACGUGGAUAACCUACCUAUAAGACUGGUAUAACUUCGGGAAACCGGAGCUAAUACCGGAUAAUAUAUUGAACCGCAUGGUUCAAUAGUGAAAGACGGUUUUGCUGUCACUUAUAGAUGGAUCCGCGCCGCAUUAGCUAGUUGGUAAGGUAACGGCUUACCAAGGCAACGAUGCGUAACCGACCUGAGAGGGUGAUCGGCCACACUGGAACUGAGACACGGUCAAGACUCCUACGGGAGGCAGCAGUAGGGAAUCUGCCGCAAUGGGCGAAAGCUUGACGGAGCAACGCCGAGUGAGUGAUGAAGGUCUUCGGAUCGUAAAACUCUGUUAUUAGUGAAGAACAAAUGUGUAAGUAACUAUGCACGUCUUGACGGUACCUAAUAAGAAAGCCACGGCUAACUACGUG
rnacentral:rRNA from 1 species